CGUGCUAUGCUUAGCGCAUAAGAAAGAUCCCAACCAUUAUGUUUUUGCAUAUGAACAUCAAAAUCACACAAAAGUACUUGAUGUUAAUUUAUAUUUAACUUUUCGAUAAAAAGAACCAGAGUGUUGACAUACUUUAUGAAUUUAAUAAUGUACAUGAGGCGAGUUCAGACUCUAGGAACCCGACCUGGGGAUGUCAACACAGCAGCAGUCGUGAUCAACGUUGGAGGUAUGGAGGAGUGUCCUCCAAAGGGGGUGACCAUGGCAGAAGACUCUCACCUGAUGUCAUAUCUUCCAAGAGCUCCAGGAAUUUAUCUUGAGUGUCAUCAAUUAGUUUAGUGCGCUGAACCACCAGUUUGCGGAGGGAGAGGUAGCCGCUGAGUACUGUGCCCACCAACCGACCUUUGUAAACUCUCUUAAUUGCAUCAACAUCAAUAAACUGAGACAAUAGCUCAGUCAACACUUUGAGAGCAUAACCUGAAAAGAAGGAAUUUUAUCAUUCAAUUGCCUUCAAAUUAUCUUGUUUCUCUUCUGCUAUUUAAGUCAAUUUCCUGGGAUUCUGCUUAAAGAUAUAAUAAUAAGGGUAAAAACAACAAGGAUUGGCAGCUAUGAUGAAUUUGCCUUCUUUCCUUGUACAUUUAACUAUGUAACAUGCUAAUGUUUAUAGUUACCUGUGACUUGGAUAUCAUACACUUAAACUACUUGUUUUAUUAUUCAAAUUUAGGGGGCUGAUCAAUAUAUAUACAACUCACCCUGACUGAGAUCUGUGGUUAGUGUGACUUCUUCCAAGGUAGUAAGGGAAUGAAUUUCUGAAGUGAUGAGACUAGCAAUGGUGGGCAAGACUCCUCGCAAGGCCAAGUAGAUCUUCCAAUGUCCUCCUGCCACUAGACUUUGGUAUAAUGAUACAAACUCUCCAGCACUUUCUCCAGCUUUUCCAAUUUCAGGCAAGAAGGUUGUCAGCAUGUCUAACACCUGAAAAAUAUCAAAUUACAUGCAAUUAACUGUCUUCUAUCUGUAAAGAACAAUAGCAUUUUAAAUUAUUACAAAGGCAGACAAAAAUUAAAUGCAUGGAUAGUGGUUCUUUACUGUAUUUAAUUCUUUGCUUGAUGACAUAAAUGAAGCUCAUUAUAAUUCAGAAUUUUGGUUAAAGUAAAUGCACACAAUGUAAUGAAUCAUCAAACUUAAACACAUUUCCCAUGCAAUUUUCUAAACUUAUCUACUAGACAUUACUAAUUUCUAAAGCAGUACCUCUUUUUUACGCUGGACAGAGGUACAAAGGGAUUCCACCAUUUGGGCAGUGACUUGUCUGGCCAUACGUGAAGAUGGGUUGAAGAGAACUCGUCUCAGCCAUGAGGUGUCCUGCAUCCUGAGUUCAUACAAGUGCCGCACUGUGCGAGCAAGCCAUCGUGUUCCAAAUUUCUCAAUCAAAUACCGUUCAUGAACUUCAUCCUGAUGAAGUAUAACCAGCUUUUAGCAUUUUAAUAAUAAUGUCAUUAUAACCAAUAAAAACACUAUAAGAACACAGAUUGUAAGGUAAGACAUAUAAUAUGGGAAUGAACUUUCAAUAAAAGGGAUAUGUGUUUCACAUGUCGCAAUCAAAACUACA